rnacentral:rRNA from 1 species
AGUGAACGCUGGCGGCAUGCCUUACACAUGCAAGUCGAACGGUAACAGGUCUUCGGAUGCUGACGAGUGGCGAACGGGUGAGUAAUACAUCGGAACGUGCCCGAUCGUGGGGGAUAACGAAGCGAAAGCUUUGCUAAUACCGCGUAAGAUCUACGGAUGAAAGCAGGGGACCGCAAGGCCUUGCGCGAACGGAGCGGCCGAUGGCAGAUUAGGUAGUUGGUGGGAUAAAAGCUUACCAAGCCGACGAUCUGUAGCUGGUCUGAGAGGACGACCAGCCACACUGGGACUGAGACACGGCCCAGACUCCACGGGAGGCAGCAGUGGGGAAUUUUGGACAAUGGGCGAAAGCCUGAUCCAGCCAUGCCGCGUGCAGGAUGAAGGCCUUCGGGUUGUAAACUGCUUUUGUACGGAACGAAAAGACUCUUUCUAAUAAAGAGGGUCCAUGACGGUACCGUAAGAAUAAGCACCGGCUAACUACGUGCCAGCCGCCGCUGUAA